rnacentral:ncRNA from 1 species
CAAAAGUUUGGUCCUGACUUUACUGUCAACUUUAACUAAAAUUACACAUGCAAGUAUCCGCACCCCCGUGAGAAUGCCCUAUAGCUUCCAUAGGAAACAUAGGAGCUGGUAUCAGGCACAAAUAGUAGCCCACGACACCUUGCUAAGCCACACCCCCAAGGGAACUCAGCAGUGAUAAACAUUAGGCAAUAAGCGUAAGCUUGACUUAAUUAAAGUUAAGAGAACCGGUUAAACUCGUGCCAGCCACCGCGGUUAUACGAGAGGUUCGAGCUGACAGAAAACGGCGUAAAGAGUGGUUAGUUUUAAAUGUAACUAAAGUGAAAUACCCCCUUAGCUGUUAUACGCACCCGGGGGAUAGAACACCAAAAACGAAAGUAACUUUAACAUAAGCGAUGCCACGAAAGCUACGAAACAAACUGGGAUUAGAUACCCCACUAUGCUUAGCUGUAAACAUUGAGUGAUUUUUUACCUUAUCAUUCCGCCUGGGUACUACGAGCACUAGCUUAAAACCCAAAGGACUUGGCGGUGCUUUAUACCCACCUAAAGGAGCCUGUUCUAGAACCGAUACCCCACGUUUAACCUCACCCUCUCUGGUUCUUCCCGCCUAUAUACCGCCGUCGUCAGCUUACCCUGUGAAGGUAAAGCAGUUAGCAUAAUCAGUUCUACUAAAAACGUCAGGUCGAGGUGUAGCAUAUGAGAGGGGAAGAAAUGGGCUACAUUCCUUACACUAAGGCAACACGGACAAUAUUAUGAAAUAAAUAUUAGAAGGAGGAUUUAGCAGUAAGCAGCAAAUAGAGAGUCCUGCUGAAACUGGCCCUAAAGCGCGCACACACCGCCCGUCACUCUCCCCAACCCGUUAAACUAAAAGUAAAUUAAACCUAAGAAAGGAGAAAGGGGAGGCAAGUCGUAACAUGGUAAGUGUACCGGAAGGUGUACUUGGGCAAAC